rnacentral:pre_miRNA from 1 species
UUAAUCAAAUUUGUAUGGAAUUGGAACGUUUGCCGCUAGGGGCGCUGUUCCAACUGCAUACAAAUUGGAUUUA